rnacentral:rRNA from 1 species
UGUGUAGACGGUUUACUAAGUCUGUUGUUAAAUACUCUGGCUUAACUGGAGAUCAGCAGUGGAAACUAGUAGACUAGAGGUUGGGAGAGAGAAGUGGAAUUCCCGGAGUAGCGGUAAAAUGCGUAGAUCUCGGGAGGAACACCGAUGGCGAAGGCAGCUUCUUGGCCCAUACCUGACGUUGAGACACGAAAGCGUGGGGAGCAAACA